AUUGAACGCUGGCGGCAUGCCUUACACAUGCAAGUCGAACGGUAACAGGUCUUCGGAUGCUGACGAGUGGCGAACGGGUGAGUAAUACAUCGGAACGUGCCCGAGAGUGGGGGAUAACGAGGCGAAAGCUUUGCUAAUACCGCAUACGAUCUCAGGAUGAAAGCAGGGGACCGCAAGGCCUUGCGCUCACGGAGCGGCCGAUGGCAGAUUAGGUAGUUGGUGGGAUAAAAGCUUACCAAGCCGACGAUCUGUAGCUGGUCUGAGAGGACGACCAGCCACACUGGGACUGAGACACGGCCCAGACUCCUACGGGAGGCAGCAGUGGGGAAUUUUGGACAAUGGGCGCAAGCCUGAUCCAGCCAUGCCGCGUGCAGGAAGGGGGCCUUCGGGUUGUAAACUGCUUUUGUACGGAACGAAAAGACUUCUUCUAAUAAAGGGGGUCCAUGACGGUACCGUAAGAAUAAGCACCGGCUAACUACGUGCCAGCCGCCGCAGUAAUAC
rnacentral:rRNA from 1 species